UACGGAGGGUGCAAGCGUUAUCCGGAUUUACUGGGUUUAAAGGGUGCGCAGGCGGAUAUGUAAGUCAGUGGUGAAAUCUUCCCGCUUAACGGGAAAACUGCCGUUGAUACUAUAUAUCUUGAAUGCUGUGGAGGUAAGCAGAAUAUGUCAUGUAGCGGUGAAAUGCUUAGAGAUGACCUAGAAUACCGAUUGCGAAGGCAGCUUACUACACAGAUAUUGACGCUCAUGCACGAAAGCGUGGGGAUCAAACAGG
rnacentral:rRNA from 2 species